rnacentral:rRNA from 1 species
AUUGAACGCUGGCGGCAGGCCUAACACAUGCAUGUCGAACGAGUGGCGGACGGGUGAGUAAUGUCGGGGAAACUGCCAGAUGGAGGGGGAUAACUACUGGAAACGGUAGCUAAUACCGCAUACCAUCAGAUGUGCCCAGAUGGGAUUCGCUUGUUGGGGGGGUAACUGCCCCCCAAGGAGACGACCCCUAGCUGGUCUGAGAGGAUGACCAGGCACACUGCAACUCAGACACGGUCCAGACUCCUACGGGAGGCAGCAGUGGGGAAUAUUUGACAAUGGGCGCAAGCCUGAUGCAGCCAUGCCGCGUGUAUGAAGAAGGCCUUCGGGUUGUAAAGUACUUUCAGCGGGGAGGCGUUACCCGCAGAAGAAGCACCGGCUAACACCGUGCCAGCAGCCGCGGUAAUAC